rnacentral:rRNA from 1 species
UAAUUUGUCUUUUGAUUGAAGGCUAGAAUGAAUGGUUGGACGAAGUGCAAACUUUCUUUAAUUUAGUUUAUGAAUUUAAUUUUUUAGUCAAAAAGCUAAAAUUUUUAUGAGGGACGAGAAGACCCUAUAGAUCUUUAUAUUUAUAGUUAUUAUAUAUUAUAGUGAAUAAAUUAUUAUAAUAAUUAUGUUUAUUUGGUUGGGGUGACUAUAAAAUUUAUAAUAACUUUUAUUAUAUAAUUUCAUUAAUUAGUGUUUAUUUGAUCCAGUUUUAUUGAUUAAAAGAUUAAGUUACCUUAGGGAUAACAGCGUAAUUUCUUCGGAGAGUUCUUAUCGAUGAAGAAGUUUGCGACCUCGAUGUUGGAUUAAAAUUAGUAAUAAGGUGCAGAAGCUUAAAUACUAGGUCUGUUCGACCUUUAAUUUUUUACAUGAUCUGAGU